GUCAUCCUUCUUCUUAUUCACAUUUUUUUACAACUAUUCUUCUUCUUUUUUGAAAAAAAUUUUUUCAAUUCCCUGUGAAAAAAUUUUCCGGUACCUUGGGGGGUGUGUAACGUUUCAAUUAGCCGAUUGAACGCUACACCAAGCUCCGCUUGGUAUUUGUCCCUCGGACUAUAUAUUUCUAGGAGCGACCCUACUACCGUCAAGUCAAUUAGUACAUCUCUUCGAAGCUAUUUAAUGCGAUAAAAAUUUGUACUAGCUCCCUUUUGCCAUUGCCACGUAAAUCAGGCACAAUAUUGGCAUACAUUAUCGUGUUUGUGUGUAGGCCGUUAAACAAUGGCCCCUACCUCGGGAAGAAGAUUUUAAUCAAGCACCUGGAAAAGAAAACCUUCUACCGCUACCUUGGAGAGCGAAUUAGCUUACAACCGUAUCCUGAUGCAGUAGAAUAAAUUAAACAAGACAGAGACAAGACAGCCCAACAACGUAGCCCUAGACUUCCCUUAACUACCGGCGACGACAAAUUCUACAGGGAUUGGGGACCUCCUUUAGGAACUGUAACGGAAGGACUUAAAGCUGAGUAAAUUUUUACCUUUAUAACUUUUGUACCGAUUACCAGCGGGGUCUCGGUCACGGGCUUAGAAAAUUAACUUGUUAUCAGUAUACAAUAAAAAUGAUUUUUGUUAA
rnacentral:lncRNA from 1 species